GAUGAACGCUGGCGGCGUGCCUAACACAUGCAAGUCGAGCGAUUUACUUCGGAGAUGGGCGGCGGGCGGGUGGGGACGGCGGGGGUAAUAUCCCGUGUACACCCGGAUAACAUAACGAAAGUUAUGCUAAUACGAGAGAGUAUGCAUUUAUCGAAUGGUAGAAGUAUCAAAGUUUUUGCUGUAUAGGAUGGAUGCUAGUCUGAUUAGCUGGUUAGUGAGUGCACUGCCCACCAAGGCGACGAUCAGUAGCCGACCUGAGAGGGUGAUCGGCCACAUUGGAGCUGGGACACGGUCCGAACUCCUACGGGAGGCAGCAGUGGGGAAUAUUGCACAGUGGGCGAAAGCAUGAUGCAGCAACGCCGCGUGAGCGAUGAAGGCCGUCGGGUAGUAAAGCGCUGUCCUCAAGGAAGAUAAUGACGGUACUUGAGGAGGAAGCCCCGGCUAACUACGUG
rnacentral:rRNA from 1 species